rnacentral:lncRNA from 1 species
CCCUAGACCCAUCUAUCUUCUCCUUGGCUUGCCUCAGCCUCCUCAUAGAUUUAGGAUCUCCUCUUGCUGCAACCAAUGCAUAUGACACCGUCUCCUUAGAGCCAUUCCUUUUCGACUGCCACACAUUCUCAUCAACUUGUGCAGUGCGACACCGCCACUGGUGCUAGAAUUUUCUCCUUCUUUUGCAUCCCUCGGUCCUGAACUUGUGCCAAACCUUCCUCCAUAUAUGGAAGCACCUCUGGAUGGUGCUCCACU